rnacentral:rRNA from 1 species
CCCUUAGAUGUUCUGGGCUGCACGCGCGCUACACUGACGGAGUCAACGAGUUGUCCUGCAUCGGAAGGUGUGGGUAAUCUUUUGAAACUUCGUCGUGCUGGGGAUAGAUCUUUGCAAUUUUCGAUCUUGAACGAGGAAUUCCUAGUAAGCGUGAUUCAUCAGAUCGCGUUGAUUACGUCCCUGCCCUUUGUACACACCGCCCGUCGCUACUACCGAUUGAAUGGUUUAGUGAGGCCUCGGGACUGGCGCGCUCGAGUAGCAAUACACCUGCGCGCCGGGAACUUGGUCAAACUUGAUCAUUUAGAGGAAGUAAANGUCGUAACA